rnacentral:rRNA from 1 species
UACGUAGGGUGCGAGCGUUGUCCGGAAUUACUGGGCGUAAAGAGCUCGUAGGUGGUUUGUCGCGUUGUCCGUGAAAACUCACAACUCAAUUGUGGGCGUGCGGGCGAUACGGGCAGACUAGAGGUAUUCAGGGGAGAACGGAAUUCCUGGUGUAGCGGUGAAAUGCGCAGAUAUCAGGAAGAACACCCGUGGCUAAGGCGGCUCUCUAGUACGGUACUGACGCUGAGACGCGAAAGCGUGGGGAGCGAACAGG